rnacentral:miRNA from 1 species
CUAUAAACAGUCGAUGGUAUC